UAUCAAUGAUGAACAAAGAAAGGCUUGUUUCUCAUGAACAUUCGCAGUGGCCGCCUGAUUGAACUUUCGCCUUCGCCAGGCUUGAGAGUUCAUGUUGUUUCAUCCUUCCUUGGAUGUCUGAGAUCUUCCUUCCUCUGUUUGUUCGUAUAAAUCGUCUAUAUGUUUUUUUCAAUGUGUUUGAAACUGGUGAUGAUAUCUUUAAGGCUUGUUUCUCAGAAACAUUCGCAGUGGCCGACCAAGAGCUUUCGCCUUCCCCAGGCUUGAGAGCUUGUGCUGUUUUGCUCCUUCCUUGGAUGUCUGAAGUUUUAUUUCAUUUAUUUAUUUAUAGAGAAUUAGGGUGGGUUUCUCAGUGAUGAUUUCAAUAGAUGACGAGUCUGAUACAUUAUCCAUUCCAUUCAGUAUGAAGACCAAUCGAGGCAUUUGUCUGAGAGAU
rnacentral:lncRNA from 1 species